CACGGAGGCCAGUGACAGGGCAUUCCCAGGAUCUGGACACUUUUGUUUCAUUUCUAAACCUGAGCUGCCCAAGAGGAAGGAACCUAUCUGCUGAGGACUCUGCUAAAAUCAGUGUUCUCCCAAGACCCCUCACCUCAGUGUGUAGCUGCACACCUGUUACUCUGGUUCUUCUUUGUGAAGGAGCGGGAGUCUGCUGGGUACCUUUAUUUGGCCAUCUCGUCCUCCUCUGAACCAUUAUUCUUCAACUCAAAAAGAAUAGCAGCUAUUUUAUUGGAUUAUGGUAGAUACUUCAGCUUGAACGCCAUCAGAUAAGACCUCCAGUUCAUGAUGCACAUACCUCAUCUAUUGAAGGGAACAGGAAAAAGAAGGGAAGUACAAGAUAAAAAAUAUAAAUGUUUUCAAUAAUGUAGAGUGGUUGCGAUAGUUAGUCAUAGUUGUCAUUGAUUGGAUCAUGAGGUGCCCAGGUAUCUGGUUAAACAUUAUUUCUGCCUGUGUGAGUGUUUCUGGUAGAGAUUAACAUUUGAAUUGAUGACCUGAGUAAAUCAGAUUGCCCUUCUCAGUGUGGGUGGGCCUCCUACAAUUCACUGGGGGCCUGAAUAGAACAAAAAGGUGUACAGAGGGAAGAAUCAUUUUGCUCUCUCUUUCUCUGCCAGACUGUGGGAGUGGGGCAUCCAUCUUCUCCUGUCCUCGGCAUUCCUGGUUCUCAGGCCUUCAGACUCAGACUCUAAUUGGGUGCACCAAUGGCUCUCCAGCUCUCUGGCCUUUGACUUUUCCUGAAUCUCUCCAGUUUGCAGCAGAGAGAUUGUAAGGCUUUUUAGCCUCCACAAUUCCAUGAACCAAUAUCUUAUACUAGACUUCUAUCUAUCUAUCUAUCAUUUGUCUACAUAUUCUAUUUCUCUGGUUACACUGAUUAAUCAAGUGGAAAAACUUUGCUAAACAGAGUUACUUUGAGUAGCUUGCCUGGAUGGAUCAACAAGAAAAUCUCUUGCUGUCACAGAGCUCCUCAGUGACACCCAACAGGGGAUAACUAAUUUGCCAACUAUUAUUUACAUUGUAUUCCUAGCCCUAGAUUCUUCCAAAAUCAUCUGAGAUUUUCCCAACUUGUACAAGUAAGGACAAUAUCAAAACAGAUUAUCUAAAGGAAGCACACAUAGCAGGUCCCCACGGCCUGCCUCUGGAAUGAUGGUGUUACAGAAAUUGGGGACUGACUUGAGCUUGUGUUUCCUGGCAGCUCAGGCAAAAUUCAGAAUGUGGAAGGGAAUGUCCUCUUGCACAGCAUUGUUUUUUUUAACAAAGGAAAACAUUCAGAUUCAUAGCAGACAGGAGUACUUGCCAGGCAUCAAACUCAAGCAGAAAUUUCUGAGAGCGUGGCUCAGGUUCUUCCAAGAAGGGUCUGCCCAACAGGGGUUGGGAUGCUAUAACCUUCAAGCAAAGCCCUUCCACAUUCUGAAUUUUGAUUAUAGGCAAUCGCAUUAGAGAACACCAAACCAAUGUCAUUCCCUCAGCAGGAUGCUAUUUUCACUUAGAUUUAAUGCCUGAAGUUUCCUUGACUUCUGAGCUCCCCAAACCUUCAGAACUGCCUCCUGUCCUCUGUGUAAUGAAAAGGCAAGGCUGAGAGUAAAAGCCUUCCCCCAGGCCCUCCACCACGCUGUGACUACUUGUCUGCUCUCGACAUCUGGAUAUUUCCUGUGACAACAGCAUAUACAGCAUAUCAGUAUUUUAUUAAACAAAAGCAAGUAUGUGUUUCCUCCUUACUCUGUUAUUUAUUUAUUCACCAUCUGGCUAGAUCAGAAGAUGAAAUCUAAAAGGAAAUUUUUUCUUCUUUUUUGCUAAUGAGAAUCUGGCAGAGGGGCAGAAUGAGCCAGCGGCCGGGUGAAAAUCCCUAGAGCAAAAGGAAGGACAUUUGUCCUGUCCUGAUACAUCUGGUAAAUUACCUGAAGGCAGCCCACAUGGGUGAUAGGCAGGUAGGGAGGUAGGGAGGUCUCACUCGAGAUAAUGAGGUGCCCGAGCUACCUGGGCUUUCUUCUGCUCUGUGGAACAACUUGAGGUAGACGCUAUUUCAAUACCUUGCCAGAGUGGCACAUAUGAGCCUUCUUCAGACACCUGAGCCCACAGUGAGAGCCUGUGAGUAGGAGUGAGGAAGGGGUAAGAACAAGCUGUGAUGUCAAGGCUGGGUGGUGUGAGAAUUCCAAAUUAAAUUUGGGUAAAUUCACUUUCUCCCUUUAAAAUGAUGUUUGUCUCAGGAGGGUCAAAUAUACUGAAAAUACAUUAUGAAAUGUUAUCAGUUAGGUCCAACUUUUAGUUCAACAGAAACUUAUAAGGCUUAAUGCUACCCACCCUGGCCCCCCACUUUUGGUACUCAGGCACUCUGCCACCAAGCUAUACCCCCAGUCCUUAAUGCCACAUUUAAAUAGCUUAGCACCUCACCCCCCCCACCCCAUUUGUUAAAGGAAAAAUUGUGCUUGCAGGUAAGAAAAGGGAGACAGCAGUCUAAGCAGAGGAAGAAGCUUGUAUUGCCAGAAGGAAACCUUAAUAAUCCUUUGAUCUCCUUUCAAUUAUUUUCUAUUGUUUAGGAAGAAAACUGAUCUUUGCUCCUGCUAACAUUCUUUUAACUUCUCUUGCCCAAAGUCAUGUACAGUAGCAACCUUAGAAAAUUCUAACUAUAAGUACCGUUUCUACACACUGGAAAGGCAGAAUUCUUUUUUAUUUGAGGUCACUAAUAUGAAGUAAUGAAGCCUCAGAUCACAAGAAAAAUGAGCCAGGACUUACUGCUGUGUGACUAAUUGAAAAGAAUCCACCCAGACGCACCCACCCUGAACCUGCCUAUGCAGCGUCCUGUCAAUUGGCUAAUUUGAAAUUGACUGCUAUCUAUAGAAUCUGGUAACAGCAAAAUGAAAAGCACGCAUCUUGGGGAAAAUCCCAGACUCCUCAAACAGAACCUUGGCAUGUGUUUUUCAACUUCAGGGGUGGCACCUGCCUUGAUGUCAUUUGAAAGACAAAAUACACAGGAAGGUCAUUAAAAGGGAAAUGUGUCUUUAAAAAAGAAAUUUACCCUUCUGUUAAAGCACAUGUUCUCAAAUGUUGGCAGUUCUCUGCUUCCACCUCUGAAAAUAUUUGAUCAUAUCUGGAGACAGUUUGGAUUGUCACAGCUGGAAAGAGUGCCAGGGAUGCUACCGAGACUCCUACAAUGCAUAGGACCAUCCACACAACAAAGAUUUGGCCAACCCAGAACAAUAAUCCCUUCUAGUGUGGAGGUUCUUCUGUACCCAUAAAGAAGCCAUUGUCCCCUAAGAAUGUUUCACUGAUGUCUUUGAUACCAGUUCUCACUAUUCCCUGAAGGUUCUAGUUCUCCAUGUGGACCUCAGGUGGUACAUGCAAAUUCCAAAUGAUUGAUUAAAAGAGAAAGAGAGUGAGUCUCCCUAACUGUUUGUCUUGCCCUUGUCCUUAAUCUUGAUUUGCCCUGUAGGUUACUCUUAUCAUAAAGACAGUAUGAAUGACUGUCUCAGCGCCUUUCCUCAUUAAUGCUGCUGGAAAUUGAUGAGUGGUUCCCUGGAACUGUGGAUUUUUUGGCAAGAAUUAUAGCUGUUAUUUAUUUUGGAGAACCCGUGCAGCUUUCUAAGUAAAUAUAUGUAGAAAAUUCCCCCAAAAUAAACACUACAAGUAAUUGCCUGAUAGAUGAAGUUGACAUUUUGGCUUUGUGAUUUGCUAUGAUAUGUAAAAAUCUAAUUUUCUCCAUGGAAUGAUGCCACUAGAAAAUUGUGAGUAAAUUAGAACCAGUGGUUUAUUUAAAAUGUGAGUAAUAACUUCGGUUAUGAUGUAUCAAUAUUUAUUUACAGUUUCUUAAAUCAACCUAAAUCCAUUUGGCAAAGUGUUAAUUAGAUGAGUAAAUAUGGCAGUGGAGUGAUAGAGGUUUCCGUUUUCCCUUUUUGAGCUGAUAUGUCAAAAAUCUCUUUGAAAAUAUACUUACUUGAUCAUUGAAGAUUGGAGACCCUUGGUACACUUUCCAGUUGGCAGAAAACAAAUUCCUCCAGUCUGUAAUCUGUUUCAAGUUGAUCUGAGUCAAAAAUUCUUCCUGCUUUACCAUCUGAUAAGUGAGACAUGAAAGCAACAGCAGUCCUGAAGCACAUUGCUUUGAACAAUCAAUUUCUAUAUCUUGAUAUCUUAGUUAGUAUAGAAAGAACUAGACAGAAUGUCACAGCAAACAGCCCAAACAUUGGGAAAAGUUACCUCUUAGAUAAACAUUUGCAAUGAAAAAGAAAAAAAAAAGGUUCAAAUUAGAUCUAACAACAUCUCCAAACAAAUAGUUAGCAAAAAAGUUACUCAUUAAUUGCCACCCCAGAACUGAAAACAGGGACCUUUGCAUGUUUAGGUUCAUCUGCUUUAAGCUCUUGUUAACAUUCAAAAUUAAUUUGAAAACUCUAACAGAAGAUGAUUUUUUUUUUAUAAAUCCACUUUGAGCUUUUUAAAAAUGAUAAUGACAAAGGUCAAUUGUCUGGGAAUUUUAUGUAGUAAUCUAUGCUGAUUUACAAGUAGAAUAAAUUAUGUUGGGUAUCAGUAUUGUCUUCCUUUAAAUUUAUUUUGAGAGCAGUCUAUGCAUAAAUGCCUGUAAAUGUUCAGCACAGCUCUGGUUAUAUGACAAACAAAGGAUUCAAAAAUCAAGUGUUUAAAAUUAUGGAAUUAAAUCAAUUUUAGAAUAUUCCUAUGAUAGAAUAUUAUGCAACCACUAAAACAGUAUCAACAUGGAACAAUGAUGAUGGACUAGUAAAUUAAAACAAUUUUUUACCUAUAUAACAUACAUAAUAUUAAGUGAUUUUUUUUAGUAUAUAUAUAUUUGUGGCCAUCAGCCUAUAUAUAGGAUGUGCUGCUAGAAACCUGGCUAUGCAUGUA